GAGUUUGAUCAUGGCUCAGAUUGAACGCUGGCGGCAGGCCUAACACAUGCAAGUCGAGCGGUAGAGAGAAGCUUGCUUCUCUUGAGAGCGGCGGACGGGUGAGUAAUGCCUAGGAAUCUGCCUGGUAGUGGGGGAUAACGCUCGGAAACGGACGCUAAUACCGCAUACGUCCUACGGGAGAAAGCAGGGGACCUUCGGGCCUUGCGCUAUCAGAUGAGCCUAGGUCGGAUUAGCUAGUUGGUGAGGUAAUGGCUCACCAAGGCGACGGUCCGUAACUGGUCUGAGAGGAUGAUCAGUCACACUGGAACUGAGACACGGUCCAGACUCCUACGGGAGGCAGCAGUGGGGGAAUAUUGGACAAUGGGCGAAAGCCUGAUCCAGCCAUGCCGCGUGUGUGAAGAAGGUCUUCGGAUUGUAAAGCACUUUAAGUUGGGAGGAAGGGCAGUAAAUUAAUACUUUGCUGUUUUGACGUUACCGACAGAAUAAGCACCGGCUAACUCUGUGCCAGCACG
rnacentral:rRNA from 1 species